UGAUGAUUUCGGUCAAAGUAGAUGUUUUUGGUCAAAGUUGGUGGAAACUCGAGGUUUGCGACCAAAGUUGAUGUUUUUGGUCAAAGUUGGUGGAAACUGGAAGUUUGCAACCAAAGAUGAUGAUUUCGGUCAAAGUAGAUGUUUUUGGUCAAAGUUGGUGGAAACUGGAGGUUUGCGACCAAAGAUGAUGAUUUCGGUCAAAGUAGAUGUUUUUGGUCAAAGUUGGUGGAAACUGGAAGUUUGCAACCAAAGAUGAUGAUUUCGGUCAAAGUAGAUGUUUUUGGUCAAAGUUGGUGG